ACGGACAUAGGCUACUUUUUAUCCCGGGAAAUCAAAGAGUUCCCGCGGAAUUCCUAAAGACCCGUCUACUUAACCGAUUUGUAUGAAAUUUGGUACCGAAGUAGCUUGCGUCCCUGUAAUCGAAGUAGGCAACGUUUUAUCCUGAAAAACCAAACAGUUCCCACGGGAUCUAUAAAAAUCUAAAUCCACGCGGACGAAGUCGUGGGCAUCCUCUAGUAGGAAAUAAUCGAUCUGUUUCUAUG